CCAACACGUCUAUCCCUUGCAGAACCCGGCACGUCCUCAGAGCAACAGGUGAUCACGCAGCUGUCAGGCCCGACGGAGGUGCAAUAUGGCGAAUCAGCUGUUUUCACCUGCAACGUCAGACCUGCUUGGCCAGUCAAGGUGACGUGGCUCAAGGACGGCGCCGAGAUCCCCGCGACGACCCGGGUCUUCACGCAGAAGGUGCAGCGCGUGGCGGCCGAGGACGGGGGCGGCGAGCUCCUGCAGGCGACGCUGACCGUGGACUCCGUCAGGACCAACAAGACCUUCACCUGCCGGAUCGAGACGGAGCCGGCGGAGGAGCGGAGCGUCAGCGUCGUCGUUAGAGUGGCCCGCGUGCAGUCGCUGAGGCGGAACCUGACCCAAGGACACG